AUGAAAACAUAUGCUCCUACAUUAUUCAUGUUUCUAUGGCUGCAGCUGGAUGGUGAGGAUGAGCCAAGGUGAGCAGGUGGAGCAGCUUCCUUCCAUCCUGAGAGUCCAGGAGGGAUCCAGUGCCAGCAUCAACUGCACUUAUGAGAACAGUGCCUCCAACUACUUCCCUUGGUAUAAGCAAGAACCUGGAGAGAAUCCUAAGCUCAUCAUUGACAUUCGUUCAAAUAUGGAAAGAAAGCAGACCCAAGGACUCAUCGUUUUACUGGAUAAGAAAGCCAAACGCUUCUCCCUGCACAUCACAGACACCCAGCCUGGAGACUCAGCCAUGUACUUCUGUGCUGCAAGUG